rnacentral:lncRNA from 1 species
CCCGUGUAAACUUCUAUUGCAUUGGGACUUGAAGGCAGCAUGGUAAUAAUUCUGUCUGCUCUUUCAGCUACAUCUGCUGGGGAAUCUGUUACCUGAGCACCCAGGUCUUGAAAUUCCUUGCAAGCUUCUGGGAAAACAUCAUAUGCAAUAACUGGAUAUCCGUGUUUUAUCAGGUUUUUUGCCAUUGGAUUUCCCAUGUUACCAAGACCAAUGAAUCCAACGGGGGUUUUGGAAGCCAUUGCCCUAGAACACACCAUCGCCGCGCGAGCGGCACGCACCCGCCGGUGCCAGCGCCACCAGCCCGCCGGUCCCCCGAGCACCACAGCCGCGGCCAUGCUGCGCCCCGGCGCCGAGUGACCUCCGG